rnacentral:misc_RNA from 1 species
GAUGAGAACGCAGCAAAAUGCGAUAAGUAAUGUGAAUUGCAGAAUUCAGUGAAUCAUCGAAUCUUUGAACGCACAUUGCGCCCGCCAGUAUUCUGGCGGGCAUGCCUGUUCGAGCGUCAUUUCAACCCUCAAGCACAGCUUGGUGUUGGGACUCGCGUUAAUUCGCGUUCCCCAAAUUGAUUGGCGGUCACGUCGAGCUUCCAUAGCGUAGUAGUAAAACCCUCGUUACUGGUAAUCGUCGCGGCCACGCCGUUAAACCCCAACUUCUGAAUGUUGACCUCGGAUCAGGUAGGAAUACCCGCUGAACUUAAGCAUAUCAAUAAGCGGAGGA